rnacentral:rRNA from 1 species
UACGUAGGGGGCUAGCGUUGUCCGGAAUCAUUGGGCGUAAAGGGUGCGUAGGCGGCGCGGUAAGUCGGGUGUGAAAGUCUCGGAGCUUAACUCCGAAACUGCAUUCGAUACUGCCGUGCUUGAGGACUGGAGAGGAGACUGGAAUUUACGGUGUAGCUGGUGAAAUGCGUAGAUAAUCGUAAGGAAGACCAGUGGCGAAGGCGGGUCUCUGGACAGUUCCUGACGCUGAGGCACGAAGGUCAGGGGAGCAAACGGG